UACGUAGGGUGCAAGCGUUAAUCGGAACUACUGGGCGUAAAGCGUGCGCAGGCGGUUAUGUAAGACAGAUGUGAAAUGCCCGGGCUUAACCUGGGAACUGCAUUUGUGACUGCAUGGCUAGAGUUUGGCAGAGGGGGGUAGAAUUCCACGUGUAGCAGUGAAAUGCGUAGAUAUGUGGAGGAACACCGAUGGCGAAGGCAGCCCCCCUGGGUCAAGACUGACGCUCAUGCACGAAAGCGUGGGAGCAAACAGG
rnacentral:rRNA from 1 species